GACGGAGGAUGCAAGUGUUAUCCGGAAUCACUGGGCGUAAAGCGUCUGUUAGGUUGGUUUAAAAAAGUCUACUGUUAAAAAUUGAAGCUUAACUUCAAAGAUGACCGGUAGAAACUUUUAAACCUCGAGGAUGGUAGGGGUAGAGGGAAUUUCCAGUGGAGCGGUGAAAUGCGUAGAUCUUGGAAAGACCACCAAUGGCGAAGGCACUCUACUGGCCAUUACUGACACUAAGAGACGAAAGCUAGGGGAGCAAAUGGG
rnacentral:rRNA from 1 species